AUUGAACGCUGGCGGCAUGCCUUACACAUGCAAGUCGAACGGCAGCAUGGGUGCUUGCACCUGAUGGCGAGUGGCGAACGGGUGAGUAAUGCAUCGGAACGUACCCGGCAGUGGGGGAUAACGUAGCGAAAGUUACGCUAAUACCGCAUAUUCUGUGAGCAGGAAAGAGGGGGAUCGCAAGACCUCUCGCUUUCGGAUCGGCCGAUGUCGGAUUAGCUAGUUGGCGGGGUAAAGGCCCACCAAGGCAACGAUCCGUAGCGGGUCUGAGAGGAUGAUCCGCCACACUGGGACUGAGACACGGCCCAGACUCCUACGGGAGGCAGCAGUGGGGAAUUUUGGACAAUGGGCGCAAGCCUGAUCCAGCCAUGCCGCGUGAGUGAAGAAGGCCUUCGGGUUGUAAAGCUCUUUCGGCCGGGAAGAAAUCGCACAGGUUAAUACCCUGUGUGGAUGACGGUACCGGAAUAAGAAGCACCGGCUAACUACGUGCCAGCCGCCGCGGUAA
rnacentral:rRNA from 1 species